AGAGUUUGAUCCUGGCUCAGGAUGAACGCUGGCGGCGUGCUUAACACAUGCAAGUCGAACGAUGAAGCCCAGCUUGCUGGGUGGAUUAGUGGCGAACGGGUGAGUAACACGUGAGUAACCUGCCCUUAACUCUGGGAUAAGCCUGGGAAACUGGGUCUAAUACCGGAUAGGAGCGUCCACCGCAUGGUGGGUGUUGGAAAGAUUUAUCGGUUUUGGAUGGACUCGCGGCCUAUCAGCUUGUUGGUGAGGUAAUGGCUCACCAAGGCGACGACGGGUAGCCGGCCUGAGAGGGUGACCGGCCACACUGGGACUGAGACACGGCCCAGACUCCUACGGGAGGCAGCAGUGGGGAAUAUUGCACAAUGGGCGAAAGCCUGAUGCAGCGACGCCGCGUGAGGGAUGACGGCCUUCGGGUUGUAAACCUCUUUCAGUAGGGAAGAAGCGAAAGUGACGGUACCUGCAGAAGAAGCACCGGCUAACUACGUGCCAGCAGCCGCGGUAAUACGUAGGGUGCGAGCGUUAUCCGGAAUUAUUGGGCGUAAAGAGCUCGUAGGCGGUUUGUCGCGUCUGUCGUGAAAGUCCGGGGCUUAACCCCGGAUCUGCGGUGGGUACGGGCAGACUAGAGUGCAGUAGGGGAGACUGGAAUUCCUGGUGUAGCGGUGGAAUGCGCAGAUAUCAGGAGGAACACCGAUGGCGAAGGCAGGUCUCUGGGCUGUAACUGACGCUGAGGAGCGAAAGCANGGGGAGCGAACAGGAUUAGAUACCCUGGUAGUCC
rnacentral:rRNA from 1 species